GGGGAAUUUUGGUCAAUGGGCGCAAGCCUGAACCAGCAACGCCGCGUGGGUGAUGAAGGCCUUCGGGUUGUAAAGCCCUGUCGGACGGGACGAAAGAACGGCGUAAUGAACCGGAAUGACGGUACCGUCAAAGGAAGCACCGGCUAACUCUGUGCCAGCAGCCGCGGUAAUACAGAGGGUGCAAGCGUUGUUCGGAAUUACUGGGCGUAAAGCGCGUGUAGGCGGCGCUCUAAGUCCUGUGUGAAAGCCCCGGGCUCAACCCGGGAAGUGCGCAGGAUACUGGGGUGCUUGAGUGGUGGAGAGGAUGGCGGAAUACCCGGUGUAGAGGUGAAAUUCGUAGAUAUCGGGUGGAACACCUGUGGCGAAGGCGGCCAUCUGGACACUGACUGACGCUGAGACGCGAAAGCGUGGGUAGCAAAC
rnacentral:rRNA from 1 species